AUACAGAAGCAUAAAGACAAGAUACUGCAAGGGUAACAGAGUCUCUGUAAACUACACAUUUUUACAUGUGUAAAUCUACAUUUUGGAUGAGAAGAGGGAUUUUAGAGAAGGAAGCUGUUGUUGGCUUCUGUCUCAGAAGUUUUGGACAUUUGGUAUUUUUUAAUGAUUUUUCAUUCUUCUAAAGAAGGACCACAUUGUGCAUUUGCUAAUCCUGUGAAUCCAUGUUUGGGUUUACUGAAAGGUUGGAAAAGGAAACAAAACAACUCCAAGUCCAGUGAUGGAAACCUGUUCAUCUAGCUCAGAUUAGAAGCUGUUACACUGCAAAUUAAUUCAUUCUUUUUUGUGCAGUCUUACAUAGCACUUGAGACUUGAUUUUCCCUGCUGCUAAGGCAGGAAGAAGAAUGGCUUAAGUGGUUUUUCUGUUCAGAAGGUAUCAUGGAUCCUAUAGUAUGACAUGCUUUCAACUUUGGACAUGGAGGAAUGGGGGGGAAAUGAGAGACGUUUCCAUAAAAUUCCUUUCUCCUGAGAAAAAGAAGCAAAAAUGCCUUAUGCAGCUCCAUCUGACUUUAUGGCAUUUUACAUUCUGUAGCUCAGGUUUUCUAAAAACUUAAAUAACCUUUUUCCUUUGAGCCAAGAUGGGUACUCGGAUGUUUGGUUUUUCUAGGUGAGGGGUAAUGUUAGGCUGUCAGGGCUGGGACUCAGGUAACUUUCCCCAGUUGGAAUUGAACUUUCUCAUCAGAGAAUGGACCUCAGAAGCAACGUUCCCAAGCUUGUGGUUGAUUUAGAAGAAGUUCAGGGUCUAGAAAAAUCCUCAAACAAGAAAAAUAGUUCAAUAAGAAAUCUGGAUCUUCCUUCUUUCCCUUAAAACCUACACCGUGUGAUGAACAGACUAUUUAGUAAAGCUGUUCUUGCUUCCAAAUCAACAGAGGACCAGUGUCUGAAUUGUCAGGUCUUUACAUAAGAAAAAAACUGUAUGAAUCUUUGUGAGAAAGAACUUAAAACUUCUUAGAUGCAAUUAAGAACAAAUUAUUUUAAUCAUAUCUGUGAUUUAGGGAAUUUGCCUAGGGCCAUACAUGCUGUGAUGUUAAAAACUUAGGGCAGAUUUACCAAAAUUUAGCAGUGAUAGAAAUGACCGAUGUUGGGAAAUGUUGAACACUCUUAAUGAUUAAAUUGGUCAGCCUAUUUGAACUGGCAUAAGAAAGCUUUUUAGUAAAAUGCUUACAUAAUAUAGAUACGAUAUGAUUUCUUUUGAGGGCAAAUACUGAGUGGUAAAGCAUAGAAGUAACUUUGGAUAAAGGUAACUUAAAAUUUUCUGUAACUUCCUAGGCAACCUUCUGAUAUUUUCCUUUAGUAUUUUGGAAUUGUUAAAGAACAGAAGGAAACCUACAUUUAUGGAUAUUUUUGGAAUCACUCCUUCAGAAAUAACCAGUACAACUAUGCAAAGAUAUAUACAAGGACCCAAUACAAGAAAUGGUUAAAUUCUGAUAUAUACCUAUCAUUCAAUCAUGCAGAUUCCCAGGUUACAGAAAAUUAGUCCUGCCAUGGCUUAUUACAAACUCCAGAGCGCAAGCAGGGAAGGGGCAGAGAGAGGAGA